CACAGGACCACGGCUCAGGCACACUGUCUCCACUUAGCUGCUCUGUUUCCGAGUCUCAGUUGCUUCACCUCUUGAAACCUCUCCUAGAUUGUCAAGGCCCCGCUUCCAUGAGCCCCCAGAGCCCCAGAAAUAAGUGGUAUGCCCAGAACUUGCUGUGGAUGAAGCUUUCAUCUCAAGGACAAUCUUCAGGAAAUGACGCUUGGCUGGAGUGGGCUGAAUCUACUUUGUGGCCCUCUUCACAACUCUGACACAGCAUUGAUGGUAAACUGAGGUGGCUUUCAUCUCUAAAGGGCGCCAUUAUGCUAUUUAAAUCUGAAUUAGAACCAUCUUCAGUAACAUAGGAACAACUGAUGGCACAGUCUAUGAUGGAUGUUGGUACUUCUCAGGUUACACGGUUGUAGUUGUUUAGUUCUCUAGGAAGAAAUUCAUUAAUCAUACACCUCUGGGUGGCUUAGAGUUUAGUCUAUAAGGUUCCUCAGGUCAUGCAAUCUACCAAAGAUUGGACAGGCAUGUGAGUCACAGAGAUA
rnacentral:lncRNA from 1 species